rnacentral:rRNA from 1 species
AUUGAACGCUGGCGGCAUGCCUUACACAUGCAAGUCGAACGGUAACAGGUCUUCGGAUGCUGACGAGUGGCGAACGGGUGAGUAAUACAUCGGAACGUGCCUAGUAGUGGGGGAUAACUACUCGAAAGAGUGGCUAAUACCGCAUGAGAUCUACGGAUGGAAGCAGGGGAUCGCAAGACCUUGUGCUACUAGAGCGGCCGAUGGCAGAUUAGGUAGUUGGUGGGAUAAAAGCUUACCAAGCCGACGAUCUGUAGCUGGUCUGAGAGGACGAUCAGCCACACUGGGACUGAGAAACGGCCCAGACUCCUACGGGAGGCAGCAGUGGGGAAUUUUGGACAAUGGGCGCAAGCCUGAUCCAGCAAUGCCGCGUGCAGGAUGAAGGCCUUCGGGUUGUAAACUGCUUUUGUACGGAACGAAAAGCCCCGGGUUAAUACCCUGGGGUCAUGACGGUACCGUAAGAAUAAGCACCGGCUAACUACUUGCCAGCCGCCGCGGUAA